UCGUUUAGCCUCACAAGUUUAUAAACUAUUCUUUAGUUUGCUUAAUGCUAUAAUAAAGAGUAAAUACCGACCCUU
rnacentral:tRNA from 1 species